AUAUAGUGGCGAUAUUUUUGAAAGUAACCACAUCUGGAUACCAGCUUACUAUUUGAAAAGGUCAUCUUAUCCUGCAUUACAUAUUCUGCAUAUGUUCUGGAGUCUUGUCGGAUCAAAAAUGGUGAAAUUAGUACUACUGGGUGUUUUGGGUUUGAGCCUCUUGUUAGACCACGUUGCAAGUCAAGCAGGAAGAGGAAAUGGGACGCGACCGAUCAUCCCGCGACCGCUGCUUCCGUGUGGAUGCCCGAAAACACAAUUGUGCAAUGAGACCUGCAAAAAACAGGAUAACAAAAAAGGACGUUGCCGUGGAAAAUUCUGUUUGUGCCAGGAUAAGCGGGACAAAUGGUCACCUAUCCAAACGUGUUAAGCCAAAAAUCGGCUUAAGAUGCAAAAUCCUUCUGCAAGCCCAUAUGGACUUCUUUGUCAGUUCCCUGCACGGCUCCCCAGUCAUCUUUAAAUUGUGGCUAGUAACUGCAAAACAUAAUACUGGCUUUUUUUAGCAUUGCUUACUUUUUUUAGCUUACAUUUAUAUUGGUUUUUGCUGCGUAAGUAACGCACGAACUUUGCCGGCUUUUUGGUGAAGCUAUCACGGAAUUUUUAAAAUGAAUAUAAUACAUAUGUUUUGUGUGCAGCCACAAUGCGGAUAAAUAAAGGUAUAUAUUAGG